rnacentral:lncRNA from 1 species
GAGCUGCUGUUUAUAUUUUUCCUACUACACUAAGUUCUGGAGAUUUAUUUUGAAAACUUACAAAUCACAUGAUGAGUUCCUAGCAUAACAAACAACCUACCAUAGCCAUACUUGCUAUAAUAUCUUUUACUUAUAUUCACAUUGAGUUUGAUCGAGCUGUGUAGACCCUUAGGAGCUUUUCAUGUGGUUAAAUUAAGAUAUUCACUUGCACGCAUCCACUACACCAUUCACCACCAUUCAUUAAAAAAUUGCUAAAAAUAUUAUCACUCACUGUCCCAAGUAUUGUUAUUCUCUCUUUCCAAAAAGAUUCAAUGCAGAAGAGGCAUGAGUUAUGGAAAAAUAUGCGACGAAAUAAAAAGGGGCAAGUGCCCGGAACCUCAGAAAAAGAAAGAAUAAGAGUGAGACGAGAGGUAAAAAUGGACAAGUGUCCGGAGUAGAAUUAGGGGUACAAAGAUGCCCACUUGAGCGGAAAAAAUGGACAAGUGUCCGACAGUAGAAUUAGGGGUGUCUACUACCCACCUGAAAAGAAAAAAAAAGAUAGCCCAUGUUCUCCCAAAGCAAAGAUCAAAGAAGAGGAGAGAUAGCAAUAUAAGGAGUAAUGAGAAGUAAGCUUUAUCAUUACUUAUAUUUUCACCAUAACUAUCAUUUACUCCACCACAC